GUUCUCGAGCCUUCUGAGGGUGACUCAGCAAGAUUCUGAUGCCGAGGGAAAGGCAUAGAUUCAGCUUGCUAAUCCCUCCGGCAGGAUUCUUGCCCCAGGCUUGCAGAGAUCAGUGAGGGGGAGGCGGGAGCCAGGCACUGCUUCAAGACGAUUUGAAUUUGGCAAGACCGAGGUUGCUAGACCACAGUGACCUGGACAUGCCGCAAAGUCGAGAGUCGAAAACCAUCCCUCUGCUGCACUCCCAGAUGUUCUGCUUGAGGGGCUCAGCCUGAGGGAGGGAGCACAUCUCUGCUGAGCACAGACAGGAUGCCUGGAUGUGCUCGUGCCUGGGUGCCGCCAGGACUAGCUUGCGGUUGUCGGAGCAGCACCUACAUUUACUUCCGUUUAACACUGGCAUGGCUGAGUCAGGGUUAAAAGAAAAAAAAAAAAAGACAACUCUGGAAGGCUGGAUUUGAUCUAAAAA